rnacentral:rRNA from 1 species
AUCCGGGUUGCGGACAGUGUCUGGUGGGUAGUUUGACUGGGGCGGUCUCCUCCCAAAGAGUAACGGAGGAGCACGAAGGUUAGCUAAUCCUGGUCGGACAUCAGGAGGUUAGUGCAAUGGCAUAAGCUAGCUUGACUGCGAGAGUGACGGCUCGAGCAGGUGCGAAAGCAGGUCAUAGUGAUCCGGUGGUUCUGAAUGGAAGGGCCAUCGCUCAACGGAUAAAAGGUACUCCGGGGAUAACAGGCUGAUACCGCCCAAGAGUUCAUAUCGACGGCGGUGUUUGGCACCUCGAUGUCGGCUCAUCACAUCCUGGGGCUGAAGUAGGUCCCAAGGGUAUGGCUGUUCGCCAUUUAAAGUGGUACGCGAGCUGGGUUUAGAACGUCGUGAGACAGUUCGGUCCCUAUCUGCCGUGGGCGCUGGAGAAUUGAGGGGGGCUGCUCCUAGUACGAGAGGACCGGAGUGGACGCAUCACUGGUGUUCGGGUUGUCAUGCCAAUGGCACUGCCCGGUAGCUAAAUGCGGAAAAGAUAAGUGCUGAAAGCAUCUAAGCACGAAACUUGCCCCGAGAUGAGUUCUCCCUGACCCUUUAAGGGUCCUGAAGGAACGUUGAAGACUACGACGUUGAUAGGUCGGGUGUGUAAGCGCAGCGAUGCGUUGAGCUAACCGAUACUAAUGAACCGUGAGGCUUAACCUU